ACAAAAAAUAAUAAUGAAUCAAGAAAUGUAAUUUAAAUAAACGAAGGAAAAACGACGAAUUUAAACGAAAUUAAAAGCUGCUUUUGGGCUUGACUUGCAGUUGCAAAAGUUGAAAUAAAAUCAUUGGAUAUAGGACAAUUCCAGUUGCAUAAAUAAGAUGCUUACCCCUCCCGUUACCAUAAUCGAUCGAUCAAUCAAUUACUGAUCACACAGAAUAAACUGUAUUCUCAGUACUAUGGUAAUAACGAUCGGUACGAUGGGCCUCGUGCCGCCGCAACCACAUCGAAAAUUUGCAAUGCAUACCAAGGUGUAGAUGAAAAUCCCCCAAAUUAUUAUAUAGAGUAUACAUAUAAACGAUAAAUAUAUAAAAAAAUAUAUAUCGGUGGAUAUAUACAUAUAUCCUAGAGAGGGGAAAGGAGAGGGGGAGAAGAAGAGGUGGAUGAAGAAGGAGGAGCACCGCCACCACCCACCCACCCACCGUCGCCGCACAAACGAGGAUGCCACCAACAGGUUGACCGCCUAAAAAAUACAAAAAAAAAUUAAAGAAACAAAACAAAACUUAACUAACCG